rnacentral:rRNA from 1 species
GACGAACGCUGGCGGCGUGCUUAACACAUGCCAGUCGAACGGAAAGGCACUGCUUUUGUGGGGUGCUCGAGUGGCGAACGGGUGAGUAACACGUGAGUAACCUGCCCUUGACUUUGGGAUAACUUCAGGAAACUGGGGCUAAUACCGGAUAGGAGCUCCUGCUGCAUGGUGGGGGUUGGAAAGUUUCGGCGGUUGGGGAUGGACUCGCGGCUUAUCAGCUUGUUGGUGGGGUAGUGGCUUACCAAGGCUUUGACGGGUAGCCGGCCUGAGAGGGUGACCGGCCACCAUGGGACUGCGAUACGGCCCAGACUCCUACGUGAGGCAGCAGUGGGGAAUAUUGCACAAUGGGCGGAAGCCUGAUGCAGCAACGCCGCGUGCGGGAUGACGGCCUUCGGGUUGUAAACCGCUUUCGCCUGUGACGAAGCGUGAGUGACGGUAAUGGGUAAAGAAGCACCGGCUAACUACGUG